rnacentral:lncRNA from 1 species
UCAGCUUCCAGUCUGGACCAGCAGGCCCCACCUCUCUCCCCCUGCCUCGUUAAGCCCCUCCCUCCAAAAACGAACUCUCUGUCGGACCUUCCCUCGGGCACCGUGGCCCCUACAGGUUCACCCAGGGAGGACGGUAGGACCGGAGGCCCCUGCUCUCGCUUCGGGAAACCCCUGGGAGAGGUGGCUCCUCCCCCUCCACCUGAGGAGGUGGAGCAUCGCGCCCAGUGGCCCAGAACGCCUUCUGUCUCUAUCCUAUCACAGGCCCUGCCCCCGUCACCUGUUCACACCAUCGACAGGAGUCAUGUGAGGAUGGACGAGGCGCCAUUUUACCCCCGACAACCCCCGACAACGCCCCCUGCAACUUCUUUCCCAACACGGAGUUGGUCCUGCUUACACCCAGCUGAUGUCGUUGAUUCUCCCGUUGACCCACCAGUCGUCCCGCCAGUCGUCCCGCCAGUCGUCUCGCCCCUUUACUUGCCCCCAGAUUCCCCGCCUCCGCCGCCCGCGAGCCGGCCUGUCCGGACGCCCUCCCCGCCCCCUGGCCAGGACUUCCGAGCGGCCCUGCCUGUGGAGCGCUGGGCGGAGAACGUCAACAGAUACUACGGCUCCGAGAGGGCAACGGGCGGAGCAGCGUUGCACGGCGAGGAGCUGUCGGAGCUGGAGUCUCUGUACCAGGCGAGCCUGCUGGCUCCCAGCAUGCACCGGGGCAGCCGAGGAGUCAGUCCUCAGCCAACAAGCAACAAACAAGGUUUGAGGAGAAUGCUGUCAGGAUCUGGACGGUCCAAAACACCGACGGCUGAGAUCGAGAGACACGCCUACAGAUCACCAGUUACACCUCAUAAGCCUCCGUCUGGUGAAGACGAGAGCUACAGUGCAGCCAACCUGCGACGCCUCGCACGCAGCCUCAGUGGAACCGUCAUCGGGUCCAGACCCCAAAACCUCGGCUCCUCCCACAGCUGUGUAUGUCUCACACACACACACACACACACACACACACACACACACACACACACACACACACACACAGACACGCACACA